ACGGGAGUGGCAAGCGUUAUCCGGAAUUAUUGGGCGUAAAGCGUCCGCAGGCGGCCUUGUAAGUCUGCUGUCAAAGCGUGGAGCUUAACUCCAUUUCGGCAGUGGAAACUACAAGGCUUGAGUGUGGUAGGGGCAGAGGGAAUUCCCGGUGUAGCGGUGAAAUGCGUAGAUAUCGGGAAGAACACCAGUGGCGAAGGCGCUCUGCUGGGCCAUAACUGACGCUCAUGGACGAAAGCCAGGGGAGCGAAAGGGAUUAGAUACCCCUGUAGUCCUGGCCGUAAACGAUGAACACUAGGUGUCGGGGGAAUCGACCCCCUCGGUGUCGUAGCCAACGCGUUAAGUGUUCCGCCUGGGGAGUACGCACGCAAGUGUG
rnacentral:rRNA from 1 species